GACGAACGCUGGCGGCGUGCUUAACACAUGCAAGUCGAACGGAAAGGCCCUGCUUUUGUGGGGUGCUCGAGUGGCGAAAGGGUGAGUAACAAGUGAGUAACCUGCCCUUGACUUUGGGAUAACUUCAGGAAACUGGGGCUAAUACCGGAUAGGAGCUCCUGCUGCAUGGGGGGGGUUGGAAAGGUUCGGCGGUUGGGGAUGGACUCGCGGCUUAUCAGCUUGUUGGUGGGGUAGUGGCUUACCAAGGCUUUGACGGGUAGCCGGCCUGAGAGGGUGACCGGCCACAUUGGGACUGAGAUACGGCCCAGACUCCUACGGGAGGCAGCAGUGGGGAAUAUUGCACAAUGGGCGGAAGCCUGAUGCAGCAACGCCGCGUGCGGGAUGACGGCCUUCGGGUUGUAAACCGCUUUCGCCUGUGACGAAGCGUGAGUGACGGUAAUGGGUAAAGAAGCACCGGCUAACUACGUG
rnacentral:rRNA from 1 species